AUAAAAUAUAAAAUUGUAGACGAGUAAAAUCUUUUUAGAGUAGAAAUUUCCAUUCAUGCUCUGCUAGUCAUACUCAACUAAAAAAUCCUUCCGCUCCACCAAAAUAUUCCAAGUUCACUCUCUUAAAAAAAGCCAACGUAACAAGCCAUACAAACUAGGAAUUAGAGUUUGCAGUAACAAAAUUUAUCCUCACAAUACAGAAACAUGUUGAAACAUGGGCAGAAAAUUGGAAGAAGCUUAUGAUGCAGAGAGUGGAAUUGGCCUCACUGCACCUUGGAUUCGCCUAAACACAGUCCUGACCCUUUCCUUGAGACCUUCAUUUUCGCUUUCAACAUCCCCACUCUGUUUGUCGAGCUGUGCCACGUUCCCAUCAACAGUUAUGACCAGCUUCCCAUUCUCUCCACGCUUCACAUCUCCAAAAAGUGAAACAAGGAGUGCAUGAAUCACCUUCUCUGCUUUUUUCCCAUUUUCUUCCUCUGAUUUCACAGCCUCUGACUCAACUACCACCUUGGGAACCUCCCUACUGAUGUUCAAAACUAGAGCUACAACUGAGUCAGACACCAUAUCACUUAUAGGAUCUGCAUUCCAAUGAAGUGAAAUAUGUUUAUCAGACUCAAGCUUCACAGUCACUCUCUCAUGCACUUGCAAUGUCGGAACCCCAGAUUCCUCAUCUGUGCCGGAUUCCACAAUCUCAUAUAUCUGUUCAAGCCGGUGCUUUAUCACACCAAAGGCACCAGAGAAUGGAAUGGUGAUUCUCUGAGUAAUAUUUGCUGUUGAUAGCUGGGAGAAUACAUGGAGAUCUUCAGGUGCCAUAAUUUGGUAAGUGAAGCCCUUCUUUACUAGUAUGCCGCUGACAGUUUCACCGACAUCUGGGGUCUUCUCAGCUAGUUUCCCUAUUGUUUUUGCCAUUUUCUCAGAGUUGAAAUACAUCUCAACAGACUGGCAAUUCUUAGGAGUAAUGAUUUUGGUGUUGCCAUCAGCAAACUCUGUAAUAAGCUUCUGUUUGAGCCUCCCCAUUUCAUUAGCUUCUCCAUGAACAAGAAUUAUGUUAGGAGGCAUCAGCUCUUUCAAAAAUGUACUUGUCUGAGCAUAAUCCGCAUGGGCAGAGAAUGAAAUAUAAUGGACUUGCAUGUUCAGAGGAGCAGUUAGUCCAUUCAUUAGAGUGACCUCCUUUGGUUCAUUAAUGAUGGUUUUAGCUAGCGUUCCUUCAACAACAUAUCCAGGUAUAACACAAGCAUUUUUCUUAUCAGAGCACCACAUAUCAAAUAACUGCCUUGACAACCCGCUUUGCAGUCCACCAGGGCUAGCCAUGACCACUGAUGGACCCACAUCAGUAAAAUCCUCAAUGCUAUUUAGUGGUGAUAUGUGCUUGAAUUUGAAGGGAUUUGAGUUCGCAAACUGGUUGCGGAUCCUCUCAUUCAUUGAAAGGAUAUAUGUCUGGUAGACAGUCAUACACUUCUUCGCAAGAGGAGAAGCAUAAUAUAUGGGAAUGUUAUGGAGCUCAGAAUGGUUUGACCAGUACUCAUCAAGGAUCAAGAGAAGUUCUUGGGCACGACCAAGGGCAAAUGCUGGGAUUAGAACACGACCCCCUUGAGAAAUAGUUGAGUGGAUAACAUCAGUGAACCGCUUCUCCCGAAUGUGCCGAGGUUGAUGGAGCUGGACUCCAUAAGUGGAUUCAAUUACACAUAUGUCAGGGGAGAAUUGUGGCAUCUCAGCAGCACGAAGAUGCCGAUCUUCUUCACGUGAAUAGUCUCCAGUAUAGAGGACUCGAACACCAGCAAUGUCAACCAUGAACAUGGCAGCACCGAGGACAUGGCCAGCAGUAUAGCACCAAAAUUUAAUGCCAUUCACCUCCACUGUUUGAUGGAAGUCAAUAACCUGCAAUUACAUGAGAGGGAUUGUAAAUUUAAAUUUACAUGCUUGCACAUUCUCAACCACAAAACUAUACAUGCACAAACAGAUAUGAGUUCAUAAAGCGAACAAUAUUAGGAUGUCAGGAUGGCAAAAGAAAUGAAAUUUAAAAAGCAAAUUAGCAUUAUUGACAGACAUUCAAUCACAUUCUUAGAAUGUCACUUAAUGCAACUCAAAGAUAAUAAUGGGGCAGACCCCUUUCUAUUGUGGUUGCAUAGUUCCAUGGAAUCCAAUUGAAAGUCUAAUAAAAUCCCAACUUCAACUCUUCUAUCAUUACUAUGCACCGUUAGAAGCUCUACACCAACCAUGAUAAGGAGGGAGAAAUCCCCAUUUACAGGAAUCGCGGAAGUUCAAUUCAUUUAGAUGCACACAGUCCAAAUAUUCCACGAAAAAUUGUUUGAUGAGAAUCAAAUUCAACACUUCGAGAAGCACCAAAAAGCAACUCCUUCGACUUUACAUCACAUAGCUUUCUGAAAAGAAGAAUCCUAACACUCCACAUAUCAUUUUUUUCCCCAUCAUCAGCAUAGAUAUGUCCGAUACAACAAGUAGAAGAAUGUGGAAACCGUUCCAAAUGAUACCUAAAUUUGUAUUCUGUAGUGCUUAUAGUAUGAACUUAAUGAGCAAACUAUGACCUAGCACGCUAAAAACCUACAUAUGAACAAAGCCAACACUCAUCGAGUUGACAACCAAUGCUUAACUACAAUUAGCUUUGCCCGCCACUACUUCAUAGUUAAAUUAAAAGUUUGCUGCACCAUCACAUAAAAUGUUACUGAGCCAUUAGGCUAUGUCCAAUUAGCAUUAAACA
rnacentral:misc_RNA from 1 species